UACAGAGACUGCAAGCGUUAUUCGGAUUCACUGGGCGUAAAGGGUGCGCAGGCGGUCGGGUGUGUCAGAUGUGAAAUCCCGAGGCUCAACCUCGGAACUGCGUCUGAAACUACUCGACUAGAGUACUGGAGAGGGUAACGGAAUUCACGGUGUAGCAGUGAAAUGCGUAGAUAUCGUGAGGAACACCAGAGGCGAAGGCAGCCCCCCUGGGUCGAUACUGACGCUCAUGCACGAAAGCGUGGGGAGCAAACAGG
rnacentral:rRNA from 1 species